rnacentral:rRNA from 1 species
AAUUGGAGGGCAAGUCUGGUGCCAGCAGCCGCGGUAAUUCCAGCUCCAAUAGCGUAUAUUAAAGUUGUUGCAGUUAAAAAGCUCGUAGUUGAAUUUCGGGAUUGACGUGAUGGUCGUGCCUUAAGGGGUAUGAACUGUCGCAGUUGAUUUCUCACCUUCUGGAGAAGCAUGAUGUCCUUAAUUGGGUGUCAUGUGGAACCAGGACCUUUACCUUGAAAAAAUUAGAGUGUUUAAAGCAGGCAUUUUGCUCGAAUACAUUAGCAUGGAAUAAUAGAAUAGGACGGCAUGGUUCUAUUUUGUUGGUUUCUAGGAUCACCGUAAUGAUUAAUAGGGAUAGUUGGGGGCAUUAGUAUUCAAUUGUCAGAGGUGAAAUUCUUGGAUUUAUUGAAGACUAACUACUGCGAAAGCAUUUGCCAAGGAUGUUUUCAUUAAUCAAGAACGAAAGUUAGGGGAUCGAAGACGAUCAGAUACCGUCGUAGUCUUAACCAUAAACUAUGCCGACUAGGAAUCAGACGAUGUUAAUUUUUUAAUGACUCGUUUGGCACCUUACGGGAAACCAAAGUGU